CAGGAUGAACGCUAGCGGCAGGCUUAACACAUGCAAGUCGAGGGGCAGCGCGAGGUAGCAAUACUUGGCGCCGACCGGCGGAAGGGUGCGUAACGCGUGAGCAACUUGCCCGUAUCUGGGACAUAACCGAUGGAAACGUCGACUAAUUUCCCAUAACAACAGAGAUGACAUCUUCUUUGUUUGAAAGCUUCGGUGGAUACGGAUGGGCUCGCGUGACAUUAGCUAGUUGGAGUGGUAACGGCACACCAAGGCGACGAUGUCUAGGGGUUCUGAGAGGAAGGUCCCCCACACUGGAACUGAGACACGGUCCAGACUCCUACGGGAGGCAGCAGUGAGGAAUAUUGGUCAAUGGGCGGAAGCCUGAACCAGCCAUGCCGCGUGCCAGGAAUAAGGCCCUAUGGGUCGUAAACUGCUUUUGACGGGGAGCAAUAAGGGCUACGCGUAGCCCGAUGAGAGUACUCGUCGAAUAAGCAUCGGCUAACUCCGUGCCAGCCGCAGC
rnacentral:rRNA from 1 species